CCUACGGGUGGCAGCAGUCGAGAAUCAUUCACAAUGGGGGAAACCCUGAUGGUGCGACGCCGCGUGGGGGAAUGAAGGUCUUCGGAUUGUAAACCCCUGUCAUGUGGGAGCAAUUUAAAAAGAUAGUACCACAAGAGGAAGAGACUGCUAACUCUGUGCCAGCAGCCGCGGUACUACAGAGGUCUCAAGCGUUGUUCGGAAUCACUGGGCGUAAAGCGUGCGUAGGCUGUUUCUUAAGUCGUGUGUGAAAGGCGCGGGCUCAACCCGCGGACGGCACAUGAUACUGAGAGACUAGAGUAAUGGAGGGGGAACCGGAAUUCGCGGUGUAGCAGUGAAAUGCGUAGAUAUCGAGAGGAACACUCGUGGCGAAGGCGGGUUCCUGGACAUUAACUGACGCUGAGGCACGAAGGCCAGGGGAGCGAAAGGGAUUAGAUACCCCUGUAGUC
rnacentral:rRNA from 1 species